CAAGUCGAACGGUAACAGGGAGCUUGCUCCGCUGACGAGUGGCGAACGGGUGAGUAAUAUAUCGGAACGUACCCAAGAGUGGGGGAUAACGUAGCGAAAGUUACGCUAAUACCGCAUACGAUCUAUGGAUGAAAGUGGGGGAUCGCAAGACCUCAUGCUCCUGGAGCGGCCGAUAUCUGAUUAGCUAGUUGGUGAGGUAAAGGCUCACCAAGGCGACGAUCAGUAGCUGGUCUGAGAGGACGACCAGCCACACUGGAACUGAGACACGGUCCAGACUCCUACGGGAGGCAGCAGUGGGGAAUUUUGGACAAUGGGCGCAAGCCUGAUCCAGCAAUGCCGCGUGAGUGAAGAAGGCCUUCGGGUUGUAAAGCUCCUUUGUCAGGGAAGAAACGGUAGAGGCUAAUAUCCUUUGCUAAUGACGGUACCUGAAGAAUAAGCACCGGCUAACUACGUGCCAGCAGCCGCGGUAAUACGUAGGGUGCAAGCGUUAAUCGGAAUUACUGGGCGUAAAGCGUGCGCAGGCGGUUUUGUAAGUCUGUCGUGAAAUCCCCGGGCUCAACCUGGGAAUUGCGAUGGAGACUGCAAGGCUAGAAUCUGGCAGAGGGGGGUAGAAUUCCACGUGUAGCAGUGAAAUGCGUAGAGAUGUGGAGGAACACCGAUGGCGAAGGCAGCCCCCUGGGUCAAGAUUGACGCUCAUGCACGAAAGCGUGGGGAGCAAACAGGAUUAGAUACCCUGGUAGUCCACGCCCUAAACGAUGUCUACUAGUUGUCGGGUUUUAAUUAACUUGGUAACGCAGCUAACGCGUGAAGU
rnacentral:rRNA from 1 species